rnacentral:rRNA from 1 species
ACCCGCUGAAUUUAAGCAUAUCAGUAAGCGGAGGAAAAGAAAACAACAGUGAUUCCCAUAGUAACUGCGAGUGAAGUGGGAAGAGCCCAACGUUGAAAUCUCUCCAUACUGUGUGUGGAGCGAGUUGUAACGUAUAGACCAUUUAUCGAGAAUCUGGGUCGACGUCAAAGUCCUCCGGACAGAGGCGCCAAAGAAGGUGAUAGCCCUGUAGAGGACGUUGACUAGAUUCGCAUGAUGAUGGUUCUAAGAGUCGGGUUGUUUGGGAUUGCAACCUAAAUAGGGUGGUAAACUCCACCUAAGGCUAAAUACGAACACGAAGCCGAUAGCGAACAAGUACCGUGAGGGAAAGUUGAAAAGAACUCUGAGAAGAGAGUUAAAAGUACGUGAAACCGCUAACGGGGAAGCGGAAGGGCGUGUCGUGAUCAUGCAUCUCAGUGCUGCGAAUAAUUCGGCGUAAGCUGGUUAUAGCAAUGCUGCGGUGUGGAUGCGUCAGGCCUAUUGGUCACUGCGACCUAUAUGCAAGGGAUUCGUGAAGUUUAAACUUGGCGAUAUCAUGUAUAAAUGGUUGUUGGGGCUGGUAUGUUUGAAAAGGGUCGUCAUCGGCUAAAACUCUGCGAAGAGGGUAGCCGGCAGACUGUGCAUGUAACUUAUGAUUGGGGCGAAUCGCAACAAUCAUGAGGAAGUUCACAGAAUGCAGGUGAUGCCAGAUCCUGACGAGAUACCGAACCUUCCGACCCGUCUUGAAACACGGACCAAGGAGGCAGAAGCCAUAGCAAGUCGGAGAGUGAUAAAACUCGACGGCGCAGUGAAAGCAAAAAGGUGGGAUCCUGUAUAAGCUCUGAAAAGAGUGAAUGGGCGCACCACCGGCCGAUUGGGACUUUGAGCCUGAUCGAGUCAGAGCUAUAGCUGCUGAACCCGAAAGAUGGUGAACUAUGCGUGAGCAGGGUGAAGCCAGAGGAAACUCUGGUGGAGGCUCGAAGCGAUUCUGACGUGCAAAUCGAUCGUUGGACUUGCGUAUAGGGGCGAUAGACUAAUCGAACCAUCUAGUAGCUGGUUCCCUUCGAAAUAUCCCUCAGGAUCGCUGAGACAGAGUAAGGCAGUUUCAUCGGGUAGAGCCAAUGAUUAGAGGCAUCGGGGAAUGAUUCUCCUCGACCUAUUCUCAAACUACCAACCGGUGAGUGUCAGAGUUUACUUGUUUGAACUAUGACAAUUGAAUGCUAGGGUUCCAAGUGGGCCGUUUCUGGUAAGCAGAACUGGCGAUGCGGGAUGAA